GAUCCUGUGGCUCAACUGGAUGAGCCUCGCCUUUGGGUGGAGAGGUUGCUGGUUCAAACCCCAGCCAGGUCU